rnacentral:rRNA from 1 species
AGGGUUUGAUUCUGGCUCAGGAUGAACGCUAGCUACAGGCCUAACACAUGCAAGUCGAGGGGCAGCAUUUUUCCAGCUUGCUGGAAAAGAUGGCGACCGGCGCACGGGUGAGUAACACGUAUCCAACCUUCCGUUUACUCAGGGAUAGCCUUUCGAAAGAAAGAUUAAUACCUGAUAGUAUCGAGAGAUUGCAUGAUAGCCCGAUUAAAGAUUAAUCGGUAAACGAUGGGGAUGCGUUCCAUUAGCUUGUUGGCGGGGUAACGGCCCACCAAGGCAACGAUGGAUAGGGGUUCUGAGAGGAAGGUCCCCCACAUUGGAACUGAGACACGGUCCAA